GAUGAAGAACGUAGCAAAAUGCGAUAAGUAGUGUGAAUUGCAGAAUUCAGUGAAUCAUCGAAUCUUUGAACGCACAUUGCGCCCGCCAGUAUUCUGGCGGGCAUGCCUGUUCGAGCGUCAUUUCAACCAUCAAGCCCCAGGCUUGUGUUGGGGACCUGCGGCUGCCGCAGGCCCUGAAAACCAGUGGCGGGCUCGCUGUCACACCGGGCGUAGUAGAUUUUAUCUCGCUCAGGGCGUGCUGCGGGUUCCGGCCGUUAAAAAGCCUUUUUUACCCAAGGUUGACCUCGGAUCAGGUAGGAAGACCCGCUGAACUUAAGCAUAUCAAUAAGCGGAGGA
rnacentral:misc_RNA from 1 species